CGGACGGGUGAGUAACACGUGGAUAACCUACCUAUAAGACUGGGAUAACUUCGGGAAACCGGAGCUAAUACCGGAUAAUAUUUUGAACCGCAUGGUUCAAAAGUGAAAGACGGUCUUGCUGUCACUUAUAGAUGGAUCCGCGCUGCAUUAACUAGUUGGUAAGGUAACGGCUUACCAAGGCAACGAUGCAUAGCCGACCUGAGAGGGUGAUCGGCCACACUGGAACUGCGACACGGUCCAG
rnacentral:rRNA from 1 species